GAUGAACGCUGGCGGCGUGCCUAAUACAUGCAAGUCGAGCGAACGGACGAGAAGCUUGCUUCUCUGAUGUUAGCGGCGGACGGGUGAGUAACACGUGGAUAACCUACCUAUAAGACUGGGAUAACUUCGGGAAACCGGAGCUAAUACCGGAUAAUAUUUUGAACCGCAUGGUUCAAAAGUGAAAGACGGUCUUGCUGUCACUUAUAGAUGGAUCCGCGCUGCAUUAGCUAGUUGGUAAGGUAACGGCUUACCAAGGCAACGAUGCAUAGCCGACCUGAGAGGGUGAUCGGCCACACUGGAACUGAGACACGGUCCAGACUCCUACGGGAGGCAGCAGUAGGGAAUCUUCCGCAAUGGGCGAAAGCCUGACGGAGCAACGCCGCGUGAGUGAUGAAGGCCUUCGGAUCGUAAAACUCUGUUAUUAGGGAAGAACAUAUGUGUAAGUAACUGUGCACAUCUUGACGGUACCUAAUCAGAAAGCCACGGCUAACUACGUGCCAGCAGCCGCGGUAAUACGUAGGUGGCAAGCGUUAUCCGGAAUUAUUGGGCGUAAAGCGCGCGUAGGCGGUUUUUUAAGUCUGAUGUGAAAGCCCACGGCUCAACCGUGGAGGGUCAUUGGAAACUGGAAAACUUGAGUGCAGAAGAGGAAAGUGGAAUUCCAUGUGUAGCGGUGAAAUGCGCAGAGAUAUGGAGGAACACCAGUGGCGAAGGCGACUUUCUGGUCUGUAACUGACGCUGAUGUGCGAAAGCGUGGGGAUCAAACAGGAUUAGAUACCCUGGUAGUCCACGCCGUAAACGAUGAGUGCUAAGUGUUAGGGGGUUUCCGCCCCUUAGUGCUGCAGCUAACGCAUUAAGCACUCCGCCUGGGGAGUACGACCGCAAGGUUGAAACUCAAAGGAAUUGACGGGGACCCGCACAAGCGGUGGAGCAUGUGGUUUAAUUCGAAGCAACGCAAAGAACCUUACCAAAUCUUGACAUCCUUUGACAACUCUAGAGAUAGAGCCUUCCCCUUCGGGGGACAAAGUGACAGGUGGUGCAUGGUUGUCGUCAGCUCGUGUCGUGAGAUGUUGGGUUAAGUCCCGCAACGAGCGCAACCCUUAAGCUUAGUUGCCAUCAUUAAGUUGGGCACUCUAAGUUGACUGCCGGUGACAAACCGGAGGAAGGUGGGGAUGACGUCAAAUCAUCAUGCCCCUUAUGAUUUGGGCUACACACGUGCUACAAUGGACAAUACAAAGGGCAGCGAAACCGCGAGGUCAAGCAAAUCCCAUAAAGUUGUUCUCAGUUCGGAUUGUAGUCUGCAACUCGACUACAUGAAGCUGGAAUCGCUAGUAAUCGUAGAUCAGCAUGCUACGGUGAAUACGUUCCCGGGUCU
rnacentral:rRNA from 1 species